GCGUCCAUUGUCUAAUGGUAAUGACAGAGGUCUUCUAAAUCUUUGGGAUAGGUUCAAAUCAUAUUGGAAGCA